ACCUCUUGCGCUAGUAACUGAUUGCGGACCAUAAAGAAUGACCAAACCGUAGUACAGUAAUACGUCUUCUGUUUUUAAUUCGUCGGAAACGUGGAGAAA